CCUACGGGAGGCAGCAGUGGGGAAUUUUGGACAAUGGGCGCAAGCCUGAUCCAGCCAUGCCGCGUGCGGGAAGAAGGCCUUCGGGUUGUAAACCGCUUUUGUCAGGGAAGAAAUCCUUUGGGUUAAUACCUCGGAGGGAUGACGGUACCUGAAGAAUAAGCACCGGCUAACUACGUGCCAGCAGCCGCGGUAAUACGUAGGGUGCGAGCGUUAAUCGGAAUUACUGGGCGUAAAGCGUGCGCAGGCGGUUAUGCAAGACAGAUGUGAAAUCCCCGGGCUCAACCUGGGAACUGCAUUUGUGACUGCAUAGCUAGAGUACGGUAGAGGGGGAUGGAAUUCCGCGUGUAGCAGUGAAAUGCGUAGAUAUGCGGAGGAACACCGAUGGCGAAGGCAAUCCCCUGGACCUGUACUGACGCUCAUGCACGAAAGCGUGGGGAGCAAACAGGAUUAGAUGCCCUGGUAGUCCACGCCCUAAACGAUGUCAACUGGUUGUUGGACGGCUUGCUGUUCAGUAACGAAGCUAACGCGUGAAGUUGACCGCCUGGGGAGUCGGCCGCAAGGUUGAAACUCAAAGUGAAGUUGACGUGAGAGAGACGACGACGACGACGACGGAGGGAGGAGG
rnacentral:rRNA from 1 species